rnacentral:rRNA from 1 species
CACUAAUACUGUGAGGGGAUGACGGUACCGGAAGAAUAAGCACCGGCUAACUACGUGCCAGCAGCCGCGGUAAUACGUAGGGUGCGAGCGUUAAUCGGAAUUACUGGGCGUAAAGCGUGCGCAGGCGGUUCGUUAAGACAGAUGUGAAAUCCCCGGGCUUAACCUGGGAACUGCAUUUGUGACUGGCGAGCUAGAGUAUGGCAGAGGGGGGUAGAAUUCCACGUGUAGCAGUGAAAUGCGUAGAGAUGUGGAGGAAUACCGAUGGCGAAGGCAGCCCCCUGGGCCAAUACUGACGCUCAUGCACGAAAGCGUGGGGAGCAAACAGGAUUAGAUACCCUGGUAGUCCACGCCCUAAACGAUGUCAACUAGUUGUUGGGUCUUCAUUGACUUAGUAACGUAGCUAACGCGUGAAGUUGACCGCCUGGGGAGUACGGUCGCAAGAUUAAAACUCAAAGGAAUUGACGGGGACCCGCACAAGCGGUGGAUGAUGUGGAUUAAUUCGAUGCAACGCGAAAAACCUUACCUACCCUUGACAUGGUCGGAACCUGGCUGAAAGGCUGGGGUGCUCGAAAGAGAACCGAUACACAGGUGCUGCAUGGC